AUGGGGGGAAAGAGGGAAGGCGAGGCAAAGAGGGGGGAAAUGUGGAAAACUAAGACUUCAUCAAAGGACAGUGACGAACUGUAUGAAAUGAGAUUUUCUUCCCUGCUUGCGCUGUGCCUAAGAAACAAGUUUUCACUUGGAAAUGCUGACUCCUCCCACAAAGUAAUGCUACUUCUAUUUUCUCUCUGGUUAAUUGCUCAGGUCCCUAGGAGGGAAUGGAGCAAUGCUGUAAGCACAGAUGUUGUGUCUGCUAAUCCCCAAUCACCCAAGAACUACUGGAUUUUCCUGUCUCUUAUGCAGGUAGACCACCUAAUCCCCUGGAGAUCCCAAUCAGCGUGGACAAAGAGUUGUAGGUACUACGAAAUACGCUUGGCACACGGGGGAUUUACUGCUGGGAGAUGAUUAACAUUCUUGAGCAGCACAAAAAGGACGUACACAACUGCCUUCUGACCACUUUCAGGGCUUAUGCCCUUCCUUCCCAAAUGAAGAUGCCACAUUAAUUACAACUGUGAUGGGACCAGAGCAGUGUUUUUGCAAGGGGCCAGAUGCCCUCGCCUUAAUGAUAUUUAAUAAAUAAAUAAAGACAAU
rnacentral:lncRNA from 1 species